GGGCGUAUGGUCUAGUGGUAAGACGUCUCAUUUGCAAAGAAUGUUCGUUGCCUUGAACUUGUUCCAAUAGAACGGGUGAAAGGGUUCGAAUGAUACAAUGCUCCAUGAGAAGGUCCCGGGUUCGAACCCCGGUACGUCCA